CACCCCCAGGCCUGCAUGUGUUUCAGGUCACACUCAGGAGGACAGACAUGGGCAAGAGGCCUGCAGGUCUAGGAAGCAGGCUCAAGACCACUUGGGUGGGGAACUGUGGUUUCCCAGGUACCUGGAGCAUGGUCUAGGAGUGGGGCUUGCAAGCUCCAGCGGAAACCCCAGUGUGAUGGUGGAAGCAGCAUGAAAACAACAUCUCCCCAGGCCUCGCAGUAGAGGCGAAGGGAAGAGGGCUGCCCAUGUGCCUGCCUCUAAAGACGCCACCCUCAGGUUGAUGUCACCUGUGGGAGACCGGGUCCACCUACAGACACCAGGUGAUGGUCCACCAGGCCCCAAGCUCCAGCCUGCUGAGUCCCCAAGACACGGGCUCAUUAAAUAGCUUCGUACAAAAACCCAAGGGUGUCCCUCCAGCUGGUAAAAAUUGAGCAAUUUCUACUUGAGGUCUGCUGUGGGGGUGGACCUCACCUUGGAGAUGUCUUUCCAAAAUAAAACUAAGCCCUACUCAGGAAAAAUGGUGAUGAAAGGCAGCUCACAGACAUGCACGACUAAUAAUCUUAUUGAAAAGGGAGGAGCUCAGGCACACAGGAGGACAAGGCUAUGCAAUACGCAGACAUGAAAGAAAUGCCACGGGAUGCUGUCAGGGGUCAGCAGGAGGCAAAGAGGUAGAGCUCUGGUCAGGAACGCUCUGCCUAGAGAGAGCCCUCUGCAGCUGGCCCUAGAUCGGGGACUCAGGGGAGUAUCUGCCUAAGGACCAAGGAGACACCAACAGCCUGCCCAGGUGCGGGCUUGUGCAGGUCACACAGUCCUCAUGAGUCUCCUGGACAGGAAAUGGACAUGAAGGACAUUUUUGAGACAGGGGGCAAAGUGCAGAGAGAGCCAAGAGGUCAAGAUGGUGCCAGAGAUUUUGAAACCACAAGAGCCGCCCCUUUGGGAAACACUGAGAAGAGGAGCCUCUUCUCUAGCCUCUGCUUGGGGCAAGCCUGGGUCAGGUGGGUUCUCAGUACUUUUUCACAGUUAAGUCUUUUCCUGGGCAGCCACAUCCACGUCAGGCUGGGCUGGGCUGUGGCCAGUCGAGGGGUCCUUUGGCAGGUUCAAAGCUGUGAGCCACCCCGAGAGAACGUGCCCACUUCCCUGCUUUGUGGUUCAUAGGCCUAGAGAGACCCGACAGCGGGCUGCCCAGUGUGAGUGAGAAUGCCUGCAUGUUUCAGUGGUCAGGGGCGGAGAGGCCUGUACUCCAGAUUCCCCAAAGAGAUCAAAACAUACUAAAACAGCCUGCAGGUCUAUGUGUGUCUAACAGUGCUCAGCCAAGUCCACGGCCUGGGUCAGCAACAUUCCAGAAGAGGAAGAGCAUUGUAGCCGGUUGUUUGGCCAAAUGGUAGCGAUGGGGAACAGGUCUCAGGUUGGGCAUGUGGAAGGUUUUCCAGUACCUUGGAUUAAGACAGGAUGCAGUGGUCCUAAAUUCUUCCAGUCAGACUGAGUUAACAGCAUGUCUUAGUAGCAGGAAUUUGUCCUUGUUUUUGUCACACAAAGGUUGGUGGAGACGGGGCCAGGACAUGGCCAGUUUGAUGACAGUGGAGAAGCUGCUGCCAGUUCUGUGGGGCGCAGCCCACCUUCUCCUCACGGCCCUCAGGUGAAGUAGCGGCAGGGCGUGGAGUCGAUGUAGCAGUACUGGGUGCAUCGCAGGUCUCCAUAUGACCUGAGGGAGGCAAAGACACGUUCUAAAAGGCCA
rnacentral:lncRNA from 1 species